rnacentral:rRNA from 1 species
AUUGAACGCUGGCGGCAGGCCUAACACAUGCAAGUCGAGCGGAUGAAGGGAGCUUGCUCCUGGAUUCAGCGGCGGACGGGCGAGUAAUGCCUAGGAAUCUGCCUGGUAGUUGGGGAUAACGUCAGGAAACGGGCGCUAAUACCGCAUACGUCCUGAGGGAGAAAGUGGGGGAUCUUCGGACCUCACGCUAUCAGAUGAGCCUAGGUCGGAUUAGCUAGUUGGUGGGGUAAAGGCCUACCAAGGCGACGAUCCGUAACUGGUCUGAGAGGAUGAUCAGUCACACUGGAACUGAGACACGGUCCAGACUCCUACGGGAGGCAGCAGUGGGGAAUAUUGGACAAUGGGCGAAAGCCUGAUCCAGCCAUGCCGCGUGUGUGAAGAAGGUCUUCGGAUUGUAAAGCACUUUAAGUUGGGAGGAAGGGCAGUAAGUUAAUACCUUGCUGUUUUGACGUUACCAACAGAAUAAGCACCGGCUAACUUCGUG